rnacentral:rRNA from 1 species
GGGUUGUGAGGUUAAGCGACUAAGCGUACACGGUGGAUGCCCUGGCAGUCAGAGGCGAUGAAGGACGUGCUAAUCUGCGAUAAGCGUCGGUAAGGUGAUAUGAACCGUUAUAACCGGCGAUUUCCGAAUGGGGAAACCCAGUGUGUUUCGACACACUAUCAUUAACUGAAUCCAUAGGUUAAUGAGGCGAACCGGGGGAACUGAAACAUCUAAGUACCCCGAGGAAAAGAAAUCAACCGAGAUUCCCCCAGUAGCGGCGAGCGAACGGGGAGCAGCCCAGAGCCUGAAUCAGUGUGUGUGUUAGUGGAAGCGUCUGGAAAGGCGCGCGAUACAGGGUGACAGCCCCGUACACAAAAAUGCACAUACUGUGAGCUCGAUGAGUAGGGCGGGACACGUGGUAUCCUGUCUGAAUAUGGGGGGACCAUCCUCCAAGGCUAAAUACUCCUGACUGACCGAUAGUGAACCAGUACCGUGAGGGAAAGGCGAAAAGAACCCCGGCGAGGGGAGUGAAAAAGAACCUGAAACCGUGUACGUACAAGCAGUGGGAGCACGCUUCGGCGUGUGACUGCGUACCUUUUGUAUAAUGGGUCAGCGACUUAUAUUCUGUAGCAAGGUUAACCGAAUAGGGGAGCCGAAGGGAAACCGAGUCUUAACUGGGCGUUAAGUUGCAGGGUAUAGACCCGAA